rnacentral:rRNA from 1 species
CUCAGUUCGGAUUGGAGUCUGCAACCCGACUCCAUGAAGCUGGAUUCGCUAGUAAUCGCGCAUCAGCCACGGCGCGGUGAAUACGUUCCCCGGCCUUGUACACACCGCCCGUCAAGCCAUGGAAGCCGGGAGUGCCUGAAGUGCGUGAGCGCAAGCAGCGCCCUAAGGUAAAACCGGUGACUGGGGCUAAGUCGUAACAAGGUAAC